CAAUAGCGUAUAUUAAAGUUGUUGCAGUUAAAAAGCUCGUAGUUGGAUUUCUCGCUGGAGCGACCGGCCCGCCCUCAUCGGGUGUGCGCUCGCGUCGGCUCCUGCGAUCCUGAACCCGAUCCAAGCUGCUGUUAGUUCAGUGGCUUGGCCACGAUUCACUUUUACUUUGAACAAAUUAGAGUGCUCCACGCAGGCAAUGCGCUUGGAUAUCUCAGCAAGGAAUAAUAAGAUAGGACUCGGUUACUAUUUUGUUGGUUUGCGCAGCCGAGUAAUGAUUAAUAGGGAUAGUUGGGGGUAUUCGUAUUUAAUUGUCAGAGGUGAAAUUCUUGGAUUUAUGAAAGACGAACUACUGCGAAAGCAUUUACCAAGGAUGUUUUCAUUAAUCAAGAACGAAAGUUAGGGGAUCGAAGACGAUUAGAUACCAU
rnacentral:rRNA from 1 species